CCCUUAGAUGUCCUGGGCUGCACGCGCGCUACACUGAUGUGUCCAGUAAGCACCUAACCUAUUCCGAGAGGAGCGGGUAACCUUAGCAAAGCACAUCGUGAUGGGGAUAGAUUAUUGCAAUUAUUAGUCUUGAACGAGGAAUUCCUAGUAAGCACAAGUCAUCAGCUUGUGUUGAUUACGUCCCUGCCCUUUGUACACACCUCCCGUCGCUCCUACCGAUUGAAUGUUCCGGUGAGCUCUUCGGACUGCGCGGUCUGCAGUUUCUGCGUUCCGUGCGGAAAGUUGUGCAAACCUUAACAUUUAGAGGAAGGAGAAGUCGUAACA
rnacentral:rRNA from 1 species